UUUCCGGUUGAUCCUGCCGGACCUGACUGCUAUCGGAUUGAUACUAAGCCAUGCGAGUCAUUGUAGUAAUACAAGGCAGACGGCUCAGUAACGCGUAGUCAACCUAACCUAUGGACGGGAAUAACCUCGGGAAACUGAGUAUAAUGCCCGAUAGAACAUUAUGCCUGGAAUGGUUUAUGUUCCAAAUGAUUUAUCGCCGUAGGAUGGGACUGCGGCCUAUCAGUUUGUUGGUGAGGUAAUGGCCCACCAAGACUAUUACAGGUACGGGCUCUGAGAGGAGUAGCCCGGAGAUGGGUACUGAGACACGGACCCAGGCCCUAUGGGGCGCAGCAGGCGAGAAAACUUUGCAAUGUGCGAAAGCACGACAAGGUUAAUCCGAGUGGUUUCUGCUAAAGGAACCUUUUGUCGGUCCUAGAAACACCGAUGAAUAAGGGGUGGGCAAGUUCUGGUGUCAGCCGCCGCGGUAAAACCAGCACCUCAAGUGGUCAGGAUGAUUAUUGGGCCUAAAGCAUCCGUAGCCGGCUUUGUUAGUUUUCGGUUAAAUCUGUACGCUUAACGUACAGGCUGCCGGGAAUACUGCAGAGCUAGGGAGUGGGAGAGGUAGACGGUACUCGGUAGGAAGGGGUAAAAUCCUUUGAUCUAUUGAUGACCACCUGUGGCGAAGGCGGUCUACCAGAACACGUCCGACGGUGAGGGAUGAAAGCUGGGGGAGCAAACCGGAUUAGAUACCCGGGUAGUCCCAGCUGUUAACUAUGCAAACUCAGUGAUGCAUUGGCUUGUGGCCAAUGCAGUGCUGCAGGGAAGCCGUUAAGUUUGCCGCCUGGGAAGUACGUACGCAAGUAUGAAACUUAAAGGAAUUGGCGGG
rnacentral:rRNA from 1 species